rnacentral:rRNA from 1 species
CCUACGGGUGGCAGCAGUGGGGAAUAUUGGACAAUGGGGGGAACCCUGAUCCAGCGACGCCGCGUGAGUGAAGAAGUAUUUCGGUAUGUAAAGCUCUAUCAGCAGGGAAGAAAGAAUUGACGGUACCUGACUAAGAAGCCCCGGCUAACUACGUGCCAGAAGCCGCGGUAAUACGUAGGGGGCAAGCGUUAUCCGGAGUUACUGGGGGUAAAGGGAGCGUAGACGGCGGUGCAAGUCUGAAGUGAAAGGCGGGGGCCUAACCUCCGGACUGCUUUGGAAACUGUAUGGCUUGAGUGCAGGAGAGGUAAGUAGAAUUCCUAGUGUAGCGGUGAAAUGCGUAGAGAUUAGGAGGAACACCAGUGGCGAAGGCGGCUUACUGGACUAUAACUGACGUUGAGGCGCGAAAGCGUGGGGAGCAAACAGGAUUAGAUACCCUAGUAGUC